AUUAAAGCACCUUCGGGUGUGUAUAAAGUGGCGAACGGCUGAGUAACACGUGGGCAACCUGCCCCUCUCAUUGGGAUAGCCACGGGAAACCGUGGAUAAUACCGAAUACUUCGAGACUUCCGCAUGGAAGACUCGAGAAAGCUCCGGCGGAGAGGGAUGGGCCCGCGGCCUGUUAGCUUGUUGGUGGGGUAACGGCCUACCAAGGCAAUGAUGGGUAGCUGGGUUGAGAGACCGACCAGCCAGAUUGGGACUGAGACACGGCCCAGACUCCUACGGGAGGCAGCAGUGGGGAAUCUUGCACAAUGGGCGAAAGCCUGAUGCAGCGACGCCGCGUGCGGGAUGAAGGCCUUCGGGUUGUAAACCGCUUUCAGCAGGGACGAGGCGAAAGUGACGGUACCUGCAGAAGAAGCCCCGGCUAACUACGUGCCAGCAGCCGCGGUAAUACGUAGGGGGCAAGCGUUAUCCGGAUUCAUUGGGCGUAAAGCGCUCGUAGGCGGUCUGUUAGGUCGGGAGUUAAAUCCGGGGGCUCAACCCCCGUUCGCUCCCGAUACCGGCAGACUUGAGUUUGGUAGGGGAAGGUGGAAUUCCUAGUGUAGCGGUGGAAUGCGCAGAUAUUAGGAAGAACACCAGUGGCGAAGGCGGCCUUCUGGGCCAUAACUGACGCUGAGGAGCGAAAGCUAGGGGAGCAAACAGGAUUAGAUACCCUGGUAGUCCUAGCCGUAAACGAUGGACACUAGGUGUGGGGGAAUAUUUCUUCCGUGCCGCAGCUAA
rnacentral:rRNA from 1 species